GCCGACUUAGCUUAAUCGGUAGAGCAACGCAUUCGUAACGCGUAGGUUGUAGGUUCAAGUCCUAUAGUCGGCACCA
rnacentral:tRNA from 3 species